rnacentral:rRNA from 1 species
UGCUUGGNAAUAUGCCUUUUGGUGGGGGACAACAGUUGGAAACGACUGCUAAUACCGCAUAAUGUUUACGGACCAAAGCGGGGGACCUUCGGNCCUCGUGCCAAAAGAUUANCCCAAGUGAGAUUAGCUAGUUGGNGGGGUAAAGGCCUACCAAGGCGACGAUCUCUAGCUGGUUUGAGAGGAUGAUCAGCCACNCUGGGACUGANACACGGCCCAGACUCCUACGGGAGGCNNCNNUGGGGAAUAUUGCNCNAUGGGGGAAACCCUGAUGCANCCAUGCCGCGUGUGUGAAGAANGCCUUCGGNUUGUAAAGCACUUUCAGUCGUGAGGAAAGGUUAGUAGGUAAUAUCUGCUANCUGUGACGUUAGCGACNGAAGAAGCACCGGCUAACUCCGUGCCAGCAGCCGCGGUAAUACGGAGGGUGCGAGCGUUAAUCGGAAUUACUGGGCGUAAAGCGUGCGUAGGCGGUUUGAUAAGCCAGAUGUGAAAUCCCGGNNCUUANCCUCGGAACUGCAUUUGNAACUGUUUGACUANAGUACUGUAGANGGUGGUGNAAUUUCCAGUGUAGCGGUGAAAUGCGUANAGAUUGNAAGGAACAUCAGUGGCGAAGGC